rnacentral:rRNA from 1 species
UACGUAGGGGGCAAGCGUUGUCCGGAUUUAUUGGGCGUAAAGAGCGUGUAGGCGGUUUGGUAGGUCCGUUGUGAAAACUCGAGGCUCAACCUCGAGACGCCGAUGGAAACCAUCAGACUAGAGUCCGGAAGAGGAGAGUGGAAUUCCUGGUGUAGCGGUGAAAUGCGCAGAUAUCAGGAGGAACACCGGUGGCGAAGGCGGUUCUCUGGGCAUGCCCUGACGCUGAGGAGCGAAAGUGUGGGGAGCGAACAGG